UACGGGGGGGGCAAGCGUUGUUCGGAAUUACUGGGCGUAAAGGGCUCGUAGGCGGCCAACUAAGUCGGAUGUGAAAUCCCCAGGCUCAACCUGGGAACUGCAUCCGAUACUGGAUGGCUUGAAUCCGGGAGAGGGAUGCAGAAUUCCAGGUGUAGCGGUGAAAUGCGUAGAUAUCUGGAGGAAUACCGGUGGCGAAGGCGGCAUCCUGGACCGGCAUUGACGCUGAGGAGCGAAAGCGUGGGGAGCAAACAGG
rnacentral:rRNA from 1 species